ACUCCUACGGGAGGCAGCAGUAGGGAAUCUUCCACAAUGGGCGCAAGACUGAUGGAGCAACACCGCGUGAGUGAAGAAGGGUUUCGGCUCGUAAAGCUCUGUUGUUAAAGAAGAACACGUAUGAGAGUAACUGUUCAUACGUUGACGGUAUUUAACCAGAAAGUCACGGCUAACUACGUGCCAGCAGCCGCGGUAAUACGUAGGUGGCAAGCGUUAUCCGGAUUUAUUGGGCGUAAAGAGAGUGCAGGCGGUUUUCUAAGUCUGAUGUGAAAGCCUUCGGCUUAACCGGAGAAGUGCAUCGGAAACUGGAUAACUUGAGUGCAGAAGAGGGUAGUGGAACUCCAUGUGUAGCGGUGGAAUGCGUAGAUAUAUGGAAGAACACCAGUGGCGAAGGCGGCUACCUGGUCUGCAACUGACGCUGAGACUCGAAAGCAUGGGUAGCGAACAGGAUUAGAUACCCUGGUAGGAUAGCG
rnacentral:rRNA from 1 species